CCUACGGGAGGCAGCAGUGGGGAAUAUUGCACAAUGGGGGAAACCCUGAUGCAGCGACGCCGCGUGGAGGAAGAAGGCCUUCGGGUUGUAAACUCCUGUCGUAAGGGACGAUAGUGACGGUACCUUACAAGAAAGCCACGGCUAACUACGUGCCAGCAGCCGCGGUAAAACGUAGGUGGCAAGCGUUGUCCGGAAUUACUGGGUGUAAAGGGAGCGCAGGCGGGUCUGCAAGUUGGAAGUGAAACCCAUGGGCUCAACCCAUGAACUGCUUUCAAAACUGUGGAUCUUGAGUGGUGUAGAGGUAGGCGGAAUUCCCGGUGUAGCGGUGGAAUGCGUAGAUAUCGGGAGGAACACCAGUGGCGAAGGCGGCCUACUGGGCACUAACUGACGCUGAGGCUCGAAAGCAUGGGUAGCAAACAGGAUU
rnacentral:rRNA from 1 species